rnacentral:rRNA from 1 species
GGCCCCGCACAAGCAGUGGAGCAUGUGGUUUAAUUCGAUGCAACGCGAAGAACCUUACCAGGGCUUGACAUACUACAAAUCUUUUAGAGAUAGAAGAGUGCUUUCGAGAAUGUAGAUACAGGUGGUGCAUGGCUGUCGUCAGCUCGUGUCGUGAGAUGUUGGUUAAGUCCCGCAACGAGCGCAACCCUCGUUUUUAGUUGCCUUUCGAGGAUAUUUAGAAAGACUGCCGAUUAUAAAUCGGAGGAAGGUAAGGACGACGUCAAGUCAUCAUACCCCUUACACUCUGGCUACACACGUGCUACAUUGGGUAGAACAAUAAGUUGCUAAGUUGCGAAACCAAGCG